rnacentral:rRNA from 1 species
UUAAUCGGUUUUGGAAUAAGGGCUGGGAAAGACCGGUGCCAGCCGCCGCGGUAAUACCGGCAGCUCGAGUGGUCGUCGCUUUUAUUGGGCCUAAAACGUCCGUAGCCUGUUUGGUAAAUCUGUGGGUAAAUCAACCAGCUUAACUGGUUGAAUUCUGCAGAGACUGCCAGACUAGGGACCGGGAGAGGUGUGGGGUACUCUAGGGGUAGGGGUAAAAUCCUGUCAUCCUUAGAGGACCACCAGUUGCGAAGGCGCCACACUAGAACGGAUCCGACGGUCAGGGACGAAGCCUAGGGGCACGAACCGGAUUAGAUACCCGGGUAGUCCUAGGUGUAAACGCUGUGAACUUGGUGUCGGGAGUCCGCAAUGGGCCCCCGGUGCCGGAGUGAAGAUGUUAAGUUCACUGCCUGGGGAGUACGGUCGCAAGGCUGAAACUUAAAGGAAUUGGCGGGGGAGCACUGCAACGGGAGGAGCGUGCGGUUUAAUUGGAUUCAACGCCGGAAAACUCACCAGGGCCGACUGUUAGAUGAAGACCAGCGUAAUGAGCUUGUCGGAUUUUCAGAGAGGUGGUGCAUGGCCGUCGUCAGUUCGUACUGUAAAGCGUUCUGUUAAGUCAGAUAACGAACGAGACCCUCAUCUCUAUUUGCUACCCGUCUCUCCGGAGGCGGCGCACUAUAGAGAGACCGCUGGUGUUAAACCAGAGGAAGGCGAGGGCAACGACAGGUCAGUAUGCCCCGAAUGUCCUGGGCUACACGCGCGCUACAAAGGACGGGACAAUGGGAAGCCAGGCCGAGAGGCCGAGCUAACCCGAAACCCGUUCAUAGUUCGGAUCGAGGGCUGUAACUCGCCCUCGUGAAGCUGGAUUCCGUAGUAAUCGUGUUUCAAUAUAGCACGGUGAAUAUGCCCCUGCUCCUUGCACACACCGCCCGUCAAACCAUCUUAGUUGGGGGUGGGUGAGGCUGCGCUUUAUGGCGUAUUCGAGCCUGCCUUCGACAAGGAGGGUUAAGUCGUAACAAGGUAUCUGUAGGGGAACCUGCAGAUGGAUCACCUCCU